GACGAACGCUGGCGGCGUGCCUAACACAUGCAAGUCGAACGGAAAGGCCCUGCUUUUGUGGGGUGCUCGAGUGGCGAACGCGUGAGUAACACGUGAGUAACCUGCCCUUGACUUUGGGAUAACUUCUGGUAACUGGGGCUAAUACCGGCUAGGAGCUCCUGCUCCACGGUGGGCGUUGGAAAGUUUCGGCUGUUGGGGAUGGUCUCGCGGCCUAUCAGCUUGUUGGUGGGGUAGUGGCUUACCAAGGCUUUGACGGGUAGCCGGCCUUAGAGGGUGGCCGGCCACAUUGAGACUGAGAUACGGCCCAGACUCCUACGUGAGGCAGCGGUGGGGAAUAUUGCACAAUGGGCGGAAGCCUGAUGCAGCAACGCCGCGUGCGGGAUGACGGCCUUCGGGGUGUAAACCGCUUUCGCCUGUGACGAAGCAUGAGUGACGGUAAUGGGUAAAGAAGCACCGGCUAACUACGUG
rnacentral:rRNA from 1 species